rnacentral:rRNA from 1 species
UAGGGAAUCUUCGGCAAUGGACGAAAGUCUGACCGAGCAACGCCGCGUGAGUGAAGAAGGUUUUCGGAUCGUAAAACUCUGUUGGUAGAGAAGAACGUUGGUGAGAGUGGAAAGCUCAUCAAGUGACGGUAACUACCCAGAAAGGGACGGCUAACUACGUGCCAGCAGCCGCGGUAAUACGUAGGUCCCGAGCGUUGUCCGGAUUUAUUGGGCGUAA